rnacentral:lncRNA from 1 species
CUUGAAAUUCAAGUUGUGCGCCGGGCUCGGACUCUUACAAGUAGAAACUGCCCUGUCAUUCUUCUCUCCUGCCUGCUCACAUUCCAGCCCUCCCCACUGCCUGGCCACUGGACACAGGCGAUGGAGGCCGGAUGGCGACCUUGUGCCCUGAAGGAGACCACAUGUCCAGAGUGAAGAUCCAGGAGGGGAAAGACACAGGGUAACACGGGGCAGGAGGGGCUGGCAGCAACUGAGGAGGCUGAACCUGGGCCAGGGGUCCUCUUUGCCUGAGGCCUGGAGCCUACCGCCUACCUCCCAAAAGGGCAAAUUGACUGGCCCUGAGCUAACAUCCAUGCCCAUCUUCCUCUACUUUAUACGUGGGACGCCUGCCACAGCAUGGCUUUGGCCAAGCGGUACCAUGUCUGCACCUGGGAUCCGAACCGGCAAACCCUGGGCCGCUGAGAAGCAGAACGUGCAAACUUAACUGCUGCACCACAGGGC